GUCACAAGCUCAAGUACAGCUUCAUCCAAUUCAGAAAGUCUGUCUGCAUCUUCUAAAGCUCUGUUUCCUAGCACAGCACAAGCUCAGGCAGCUGUCCAAGGACCUGUUGGUACAGAUUUCAAACCCUUAAAUAGUACCCCUGCAACAACUACAGAACCCCCAAAGCCUACAUUCCCUGCUUAUACACAGUCUACAGCUUCAACAACUAGUACAACAAAUAGUACUGCAGCUAAACCAGCGGCUUCAAUAACAAGAAGAGAGAAGGGCACAGUUACCUAAGUAUCAACGUAAUCUUCCUCGGCCAGGACAGGCCCCCAUCGGUAAUCCACCAGUUGGACCAAUUGGAGGUAUGAUGCCACCACAGCCAGGCAUCCCACAGCAACAAGGAAUGAGACCCCCAAUGCCACCUCAUGGUCAGUAUGGUGGUCAUCAUCAAGGCAUGCCAGGAUACCUUCCUGGUGCUAUGCCCCCGUAUGGGCAGGGACCGCCAAUGGUGCCCCCUUACCAGGGUGGGCCUCCUCGACCUCCGAUGGGAAUGAGACCUCCUGUAAUGUCGCAAGGUGGCCGUUACUGAUCUUACUUCAUCCAGUCUAAUAGCCCUGCCAUAGGACAGGCUGAGGCUGAGUCUCAGUGUUGCCCUGUUCAGUCUGAGGCAAAAUUUCAGCAUUUGCUACUUACUGGUAGAGAAGAAAAAUCCCACAGCCCUGCCAGUACAGGUUAGUUUAAUCUGUAAGUACCUGAUGUUCCUAUUUUUUUCAAACAUAUCCAU
rnacentral:lncRNA from 1 species